AUUGAACGCUGGCGGCAGGCCUAACACAUGCAAGUCGAACGGUAACAGGAAGCAGCUCGCUGCUUUGCUGACGAGUGGCGGACGGGUGAGUAAUGUCUGGGAAACUGCCUGAUGGAGGGGGAUAACUACUGGAAACGGUAGCUAAUACCGCAUAACGUCGCAAGACCAAAGAGGGGGACCUUAGGGCCUCUUGCCAUCGGAUGUGCCCAGAUGGGAUUAGCUAGUAGGUGGGGUAACGGCUCACCUAGGCGACGAUCCCUAGCUGGUCUGAGAGGAUGACCAGCCACACUGGAACUGAGACACGGUCCAGACUCCUACGGGAGGCAGCAGUGGGGAAUAUUGCACAAUGGGCGCAAGCCUGAUGCAGCCAUGCCGCGUGUAUGAAGAAGGCCUUCGGGUUGUAAAGUACUUUCAGCGGGGAGGAAGGGAGUAAAGUUAAUACCUUUGCUCAUUGACGUUACCCGCAGAAGAAGCACCGGCUAACUCCGUG
rnacentral:rRNA from 1 species